UUUCUGUGAUGCUGUUUCUCUUGUUCUUGUUAAUGAGAGGGAAACCCUACACAACACACUCUCUUGGCUCAGCUCAUGCCCUGACCGAAGACAUCUCAACUGAAAAGAACUGGAAUUUGUGAAACUAGAUAUGCUAACUCACUGAUCUGGAGGCUGCUAUGGUAUCAGACACGACACACAGAUGGUUUCAUUUGGGAAGAGAACUGUAAGGGUCAGUUUGUGCUUAGCCAUCAUGGAUGCAGCUCUCCAUCAUGGGUCAAGAUGGCCAACACUGGGGUGGAAGGAAGGAAGAGUAUCAUCACAAAGUGGCUGACAUGGGAGGAGGAAGACCAAAUUGAUGAAUCACCUGGAACCAUCUGCUGCCAUUAAAAAUCACCACCUGCAAUAAAAACCAAAUCAGCAUGCAUAUAGAGUGAUUAUUACCUGAAACUUGAAUUUUUACAGACUGUCAAUGAAAUUAUACUUCUUCAUUAGAUUAGUAUAUUU